GAAAUACUCCCUCCGUUCCGAAUUACUUGUCUUGGAUUUGUCUAGAUACGGAUGUAUCUAGACUCAUUUUAGUGCUAGAUACCUCCGUAUCUAGACAAAUCCAAGACAAGUAAUUCAGAACGGAGGGAGUAGUAU
rnacentral:pre_miRNA from 1 species